UAUCCCAAAAAGUACGUUUAGUGAAUUGGAGGAGCGGACGAAAACUCUGCCGUUCGCGGCCGCAUUGGUUCAGCUGCUAGGGAAAAAACAAUACGCAACAAAUCAUCUUCCUAAUCUUCGGCGCACAAAUCGCUCCCCAACCCGAGGCCCGCCCGCCCGCGGCGGCGACUUCGAGUAGUCGCCCAUCGUGCAGACGCCGUCGUCGACACUUCCCCCGCCGGCUCAACGCUCCAGGUGCUCGGCCGCGCCCUGAACACAGGAUCAUCGACUCCUCUCCCACCCUCAUCGCAACUGUAGCCGACGCUGACGGCGCUCAUUAUAUCACCUGGGAGGACCUUGAAGUGCCGCACGGCGGUGUAGGCGUGCAGCUACUCUCCGACCCCGUGCGGCGACCGUCCAUAACUUGCCGCAGCGCUGGGAGCGGAUGAGGUCACACCGCGCGCAGGAUUGGGGCGGUGGUCGGACUUGGAUCUGGCGAGAUUGAUGUGGUUGUGUCCUGUGCCUCCCGGACGUCCGGAUACUUUCCCAUCCCUCCUGUGAAGAUGCCAGUGUAUGGAUUGUCAGACUUGUUCCAAAUCUGCACCUUUAAUGUCUCACUCUGAGCGAAUCAAGGAUCAGGUGACAUAGUUUCUACUGAAGCACUGUACAAGUCAAACCGAUGCUUAUUGCUCUUGUGACUGAACUAUAUAUUGAGUUAAUCCUUGACAAGAUACAUUUUCAGAUGUUGAUGUGAAUCAGGAUGGAAAAUUGAUAGAGCAGAGUGGUUGAACUUUUUCUCAAGAAAUCCAUCCUUUAUGAAGACAAGCUUGCUCAUAGGCGGAU